GCCCGGAUGGUCUAGCGGUAUGAUUCCUGCUUUGGGUUCUAUUGAAUUGAGUGCAGGAGGUCUCCGGUUCAAUCCCGGAUUCGGGCC